UAUCUAUCUAUCUAUCUAUCUAUCUAUCUAUCUAUCUAUCUAUGUCUGUCUGUCUGUCUGUCUGUCUGUCUGUCUGUCUGUCUAAUCUUUUUAGUGUUUUUGUGGAGAAUUUGUUUCCAAAAGCAGCAGCCAAGUCAUUUCUGGCAAAGAGGCAACAAUUAAUUGAAUUAAAGAAAAAUCUAGAAUUGGCCUCUCUGAACUAGCAGUAGUAUGUUGCCAACAUGUACUCCAACCAAUACGCCCAAAUAUGUUAGGUCGUUUGUCACUUCCCUGAAAUACUAAAGUUUACUAAAGUUGCGCCCCUGUCGACAACAGGGCACUUUCAUUUUAAUCAAUUAUCACUUUCAAUUUAUCAAUUAUCAAUUGGUAGAGCAUUGCAAUAUACAGCAAUAUAGAUAACCUAAGGGUAGGUUUAGGGUUGGGGUAGGGGUAGUCUGAUCAACAGAACCAACCAUCCUAACAGUCUUGCGAUUUGGAUGGAAAACCCAUGAAAAAAUAUAUCAUACUUGAAAUGUUGACUUUACUGGCUACUUGCAAAUAAUCAAAGAAAAAAAUUGGAAAAUGAUAACAAAAAUCAUGAGAGGUCAGCUGAUACACACAGCAUACCCAUAGGGUUGUUGCUUAGGGUCUGGGACCAAAAAAAGCUUGCGGCAUUUGCCAGGUGGGAAACAGUUAGAGGAGCUCCAUAUGCUAGCUGUAGCUGUGUUCUCCAGAGACUUCAAUUAGAGCCAUCCCUCAGGGUGUGAAAGCCACACCAAUAUGCUGCUGUGUUACACCAAUUAAGCCCUGGUCAACCUUAUCUUGUGAUCAUAAUGCAUUUUACACAGCCAAAAGUCAAGUUUAAAGCCCUUUUCUGGAAGGAUAUGAGGAAUGAUGGUUUUUUUAAGAGUAAUACUAAUGCCAAGCUCCAAAUAAACCCACUGAUACAACUAGAGAUGUUCGAGUGCAGGUAAUUAAUCCUUGAGUGUAAUUAUAUGGCUUGCUAUUAUGAAGGUGAUCAUCUAGGCUGGAUUACAUGAGAACUCAAUUUUACAGUACUUCUUGAAGAGAAGCAAUUACACCCCUGGUGAAACUGUAGUAAUAUUACAGCGUUUCUUUAACAUUAAGUUGGUCACCACUCAUGUUGUGUAUACUGAAUGUUUCUAAAUGUUUCAUUUAUUUUCUGUUGAAAGACUUUAUUACUAACAAAAUCUUUGUUUAAUGUGAUCUCUAGAUUCCUUUAAAUGUUCAGAAGAAGCCACCAGAGACCUUCCUGUUCUCCUUUCCCAGCAGCUACUUACAGCUUGAAGGGUCCAAUUGUGCUCUUUCUUCCUAGUUUUCUAGUUAACCGUCAAUUGAGUCCAGCUUCCAGCAGCCAGAAUGAUGCACUUCAUGGUGAUAGAUAAAAAUCCCAUGCUCAAGAACAAGUAAGAGCAUUGUCUACAAUUUCAAGAUGCUCUCAGAGGAAGUAAACAAGCUGACAUGUAGACGUGGAAUUAAAACCCCUCUUCUUUCCCCCCUUCCAUGUGACUGCAAGAGGCAUAUGACUUCCAUAACUUCAUCGCUCAUUAACCACUGAUGGCAGGACACAAUUGAGUGAGUGUUUGUGGAACUUGCCCCACAUAUUCCAGUCUCAGUCCUCGGUCUCUGGCUGUUGGGCAGAUCUUCUCCUGUUUCAGAUAGCUUCGCCCUGCCUGACAACAGACCGUGAGGAACUUCACAUGAGAGUCCCGUGUAAGGAACUAUGGGAUACAAAGGCCAGUUAUGUCCAUUUAAAUCCCUUAACAAGCACCGCAACAAACAAAAGACAGAUUAGCAUGAUUUACCAUGCUGCUAUUAUUAAAUUACCUCAUCUACACAUGAGCCAACAAUUGAGUUACUUUUAUAGAUGUGUACAGACAGUGGAAUAGCUAUGAAAAAGCACUGGGUAUUCUUUGUUCAUUAAUAUGUUUUGUACAGAAGGCUUUGUUAGGUCAGGAACGGAUCGAGUAACCUAUUGUUUAGACCAAAAUUCAUAGCCUAUGAGUCAGAGGUAUCUUUAAAAACCAAUAUUACCUAUUAGCAUUAAGCGCAUGCAUGAAAAACGACUUUAGGCUAGUCAUAGUCCGGGCUUGACUGGAAUCUCAUUUAAAAAGCACUGUAUUUUAUAUAAAAUAUAAUUAAAAUAUUGAUGGUGAAUAUUUUAUAAUGACGCUGAUAACGAUAAAACAAUAAAGAGAAAACGACCAAAAUCAUAUUGUUGUCUGUGGUUUGUGUGUAAAUAAAAACUGAUGCUAUAAUGCCACCUAGUGGUAAGCUUCAUGCAACCAAUGACCAUCAGUCCGUUGUCGUAUUAAGGCCUGUGAUUCCUCCACUGCUCUAGUUUCAUUCAGCUCAUACAUUCACAUAAAGGCAACAAGCUCUAUUAAUGAACUUGAUGUCAUUUCUGUGUAAUGCUGAGAAUGAGAGCGAGGAUAAGCAUUAGACCUAGAGAAAGGACACACACCAUUUAUGAGGAGACUUUUAAGGACAAAGGGUGGGGGAGCUAGAUUUCCUUUUUGGCCUAGAAAAGAAAACACAAGCUUUGCCAGCUUCAGAAUUCUCAUCAUUCCCUGGAUAUUAACACAUUCAUUUUA